GCAAGGUGCAGACUGACGGCGCUGCGGAAGACAAGGAGGACACCGUGCCGGACGUCGAGGAAGUAACCGACGGUCGCGAGGAGAAGGAGACGGCGCCGGCUGCUAUCGUGGACGACGGCGGCAAGGUGCAGACGGACAGCACUCCGGAAAUCAAGGUGCAGGCCACUACCGUGCCAGACGAUGAUGAGGUAAUCGACGGUGACAACGAGAAGGAGACGGUGGCCGUGUCGCCGGGUGAUGAAGAAGUGGAAGAAGCAGCGGAGGAAGAGAUGAGUAAAGAGGAAGAGGAAAAUAAGUUCAUGGACGUGGUCACCACGGGUGGCAGCGGCUGCCAGACGGUGACAAAGCGGACGAGCAC
rnacentral:lncRNA from 1 species